GACGGAGGAUGCAAGCGUUAUCCGGAAUGAUUGGGCGUAAAGCGUCUGCAGGUGGCAGUUCAAGUCUGCUGUCAAAGACCGGGGCUUAACUUCGGAAAGGCAGUGGAAACUGAACAGCUAGAGUAUGGUAGGGGCAGAGGGAAUUCCUGGUGUAGCGGUGAAAUGCGUAGAGAUCAGGAAGAACAUCGGUGGCGAAGGCGCUCUGCUGGACCAUAACUGACACUCAGGAGCGAAAGCGUGGGGAGCGAUCCGG
rnacentral:rRNA from 1 species